rnacentral:rRNA from 1 species
CCUACGGGAUGCUGCAGUCGAGAAUCAUUCACAAUGGGGGAAACCCUGAUGGUGCGACGCCGCGUGGGGGAAUGAAGGUCUUCGGAUUGUAAACCCCUGUCAUGUGGGAGCAAAUUAAAAAGAUAGUACCACAAGAGGAAGAGACGGCUAACUCUGUGCCAGCAGCCGCGGUAAUACAGAGGUCUCAAGCGUUGUUCGGAAUCACUGGGCGUAAAGCGUGCGUAGGCGGUUUCGUAAGUCGGGUGUGAAAGGCGCGGGCUCAACCCGCGGACGGCACAUGAUACUGCGAGACUAGAGUACUGGAGGGGGAACCGGAAUUCGCGGUGUAGCAGUGAAAUGCGUAGAUAUCGAGAGGAACACUCGUGGCGAAGGCGGGUUCCUGGACAUUAACUGACGCUGAGGCACGAAGGCCAGGGGAGCGAAAGGGAUUAGAUACCCUAGUAGUC